UCUUAAAUUCACCUCUUCUUUGAUUCUUUUCUGGGGUCCUGAGGGUCCUUGAGGCCUUUACCAGAGUCAUCACUAGAAAGACUUCCAUUAACAGAAAUUGGAGAGCCUGGCAAAGCAAAAGCUGCUUCUACCAUUUGAGAUGCUGAACAUAACUCUGCUUUCAACUGCUUGGUAAGUCAAGAAGCAGAAGCUGGAGGAAAUGGAAGACCCAAAUGGUAAAGAAUCAGAGACAACAAACAUGGAAGUAGCCAGAUGAGGUAAUUUGGUUAACUGGGUAUAUUUGUGUUUAUUUAAAACUGAACUGAGAGGAGAAGAAAAAGAAGAAUGCUUUGGUUUUAAGAAGAACCGAUCUUGGUUUUAUACAAGUUCAAAAAGGAAGACAAUUUUAGUUCAUUUUUCUUCAAAGAAAAUGCUGUUGAACAGUUAGAAGUUGGGGAAACUUUGACUGAGACAGCCCCCUCAGUUGCUUUCUGGUCUUUGGUCAUUGGCUGAGUAGAGACUAAGAUUAGUGUGGAAGUCCAAGUUCUAAAGCUGACCAAGUCCACUUCCACUUCAUAAUUUAACUUCCAAAAGGGUUUCUGUUUCUCUCUCUAGAUCCUACGGCUGUGAUUUGUUGAGAAUGAAAAUUUCAUAAUUGAGAUAGUGAGACAAGUGGAAAGUCAGAGUUCAAGCUUGGAGAGUAGACUAAGAAUUUUCAAACCUUUCGUCCGCGUUGUGGUUCAGUAAACAACUGCUUUUCAUCUUUA